GAUGAACGCUGGCGGCGUGCCUAAUACAUGCAAGUCGAGCGAACAGACGAGGAGCUUGCUCCUCUGACGUUAGCGGCGGACGGGUGAGUAACACGUGGAUAACCUACCUAUAAGACUGGGAUAACUUCGGGAAACCGUAGCUAAUACCGGAUAAUAUUUUGAACCGCAUGGUUCAAUAGUGAAAGACGGUUUUGCUGUCACUUAUAGAUGGAUCCGCGCGGCAUUAGCUAGUUGGUAAGGUAACGGCUUACCAAGGCAACGAUGCGUAGCCGACCUGAGAGGGUGAUCGGCCACACUGGAACUGAGACACGGUCCAGACUCCUACGGGAGGCAGCAGUAGGGAAUCUUCCGCAAUGGGCGAAAGCCUGACGGAGCAACGCCGCGUGAGUGAUGAAGGUCUUCGGAUCGUAAAACUCUGUUAUUAGGGAAGAACAAAUGUGUAAGUAACUAUGCACGUCUUGACGGUACCUAAUCAGAAAGCCACGGCUAACUACGUG
rnacentral:rRNA from 1 species